rnacentral:misc_RNA from 1 species
ACAAAAACUUUAGAAACAAAUACAGUUACAGAGGCAAGAGAUCUAACAAGUAAAACAAAACUUAAACAUCAAAAUAUGUAACCCUUGAAAUCUAGUUUCAAGCGAUUCGAACAGUUGUACAUUUCAAUUUACUUUACAACAAAUUAUGAGUUCUCCAAACAGACAACCGAGGAAUGACGAACAAGUCUUGAGUUGGUGCAGCCUAGGCCCAAUACAACCUCCAAUCGUUACAAAUAAUCUAUUACAGAUUCACCGGUGAUAUGGGCUACUACACACCCAUGACAGCACAAUUUCGCUUCACAUAUUCGUCAACUAGGUCACAGCCUGUGUGUUCAAAUUACUCGUAGAUUUUAAACCAUGUCGCUUCUGGAAGUCGAUGGCAGGGAACAUAGCAUUGCAUUUGCAGCUGUUCCACCAUAUCUGGUUUUCGACCAGGCAACCUUCCUAAAGAUCAAUACAUCAUAGGGCCGCUAACAAAUCAAAGAUCAUAGUUUUACAUUUCCCAGGCAACCAAGUUCCAUGGUGGUCUAGAGAAGCAAACUUGGAGUGCAGUUCAUAUUACUCUUCCAUCUUGCUUUCCACAUUCGAGGAGUUCUCGAGGUCCGUUCCAUCUCUAUCAACUCUUUGGUCCUUCCCAUCAGCCUCUCCAUUUGACUGGCUCGCAACUAACAUCUCUGCAUCAUCAUGUGGAGCCUCUAUGGACCCAGUUGAUGUGCCCAGUUCACCACUAUCAACUCUUUGGUUCUCACCAUCAACCUCUCCAUUUGAAUGGCCCACAACUAACAUCUCUCCAGCAUCAGGUGGAACCUUCGUGGACUCCAUUGAUUCUGAAGGCCCAGUGUCUUUUGUGCCAUCUUCCAUAGCGGUCUUAUCAGAAUCCAUACUAUGGGAUAGGGACAUCACAUUCUGCUCAACACUUGGCUCGGGGACAGAUUCUGGAUGAGCUGGAUACUCAAUAUGGCUCAUCAUCCGUGCCUGAUAGACCUGAUGCAUCUUAAAAUUCACAAUAGCCUGCAUUUCCUCAGGUCCACUAACAACACUGACUGGUCCAGUUUCUCCAACAGGACGAUUUGUCAAAGAUGUGGCCUCCUCAACAUUUAGGGCAAGACAAUCAGGUCUCUCUAAAAGAAGUCGAAACGUUGGUUGAAGUUCAUAACAUUGCUCAAAAAGAGAACGUCGACAAAAAACAUAGAGACCCAGACGAGCACGGGACAUUGCAACAAUCAAUCUUCUGACAUCACGGAGGUGGCCAACAAAGCGCGUACGGACUAGAGACAAUAAGAUAAAAUCAUUCUGCUGACCUUGAAAUUUAUCGACAGUUGCAACCUUGUGUGGAGGACCAAUAAAGUCAUAAGGGACACAUCUUCUGUUUAUAACAUCGCGGAUCAAAAGUUUCUGACCAUUAUAAGUAGUCAAGAUCGAUAUCUUAUUCGCGGGAUAUCCAAGUAAGCGCAUAUACAUAUAGACACUGACUAUGUACUCAGCCUCUCCCUCAUUUUGAUAAAACCAGGGUGAAGGGGCACUUUCACCUCUGCCAUUGUAAUCAGGCACAUCUACCAACUGAUAGUCAUAUGAGAAUCCAGCAUUUGCUUUAUGAAAGACCGCAUUCUCCUUCACAUAAGGAAGAUCCCCCAGUUCUCUGUAUCUCCAAUUGUAAAGGCGAGCUAAACUUGGCCGGGCCCUACCCUGGGCAUUGAGCUCAAUAUAUGGUAUCCCUAGUCUGACAAAUCUUGUGAAGAGACUCUGAUCCAUGUGGCUGUACUUCUGAAAAGCCAUAUUUUUCACGACAGGGGGCAAUUGAUGAUGGUCGCCAAUCAGUAUACAGCGUUUAAGCCGAGCAUAGCCAUCUUCCUGCCUCUGAAGCAACAUCGGGAUGAAAGUUUCAAUUUCCAAAAUUUGGGCACUUUCUUCCAUCAACAAGUUG